GGGCCGCCGUAACAAAAUACCGUACACGGCGUGGCUUAGGAACAUCAGGAAUGUGUGGCUCACAGUUCUGGAAGAUGGAGGUCCGAGGUCGAAGGCCCAGCAGCUUCGGUGUCUGGUGCGGAACCGCCUUCCAGCUGUGGGGCUGAUGGCGCAGUGGGAAGAGUUUGACGGUCCAGAUAGCCUAGUCCCAGACCCCAGACCACCAGAAAUCCUGUUUAGGGGCUCAGUAUUGAGAAACGCAAUGUCUGGGUCCCCCUUCCUCAAGGCUGGGCAAGCGGCCCUGCCCCUGUGAGAGGUGCUGCCCCUGCUACUCAGCCCUGCCCUGCGGACGCAGUCUGCUGCGGGGGUUUCUUGGCAAAUUAGCCAGCACAUCAGGGUCUCGAGUAUGCAAAUAAUGGAAGACUGACAUGGAAGUAGUCUAUGUUGUAACCAUCCUUGCGACAGAGCCCACCUUACUUCCUGUGUCCCUGGAUCCGCAAUACAUUCUAAAUGCUGGAAACAGUAGAGGUCACAUCUCCUAACUACAGUGUAAUGACAGUCAAAAUAAAAAUUCAGGAAUAAAUUGGAACCAGAAGACUCGCUUCCUGGGAACUUAAAACAGUCAUCUCAUGGAUAAAAGAGAAAAACCAAAUCAGCAGUGACACAAUAUUUAGAAAAGAACAAAAAAGAAAAAGUUACAUGCUAGAGCUUAUUAGAUGUAGCUUGGACUAUACUGAGAAAAUAAUUCCACAGUUUAAAAACUGUUAAAGGAAAUUAAGAAAUCACUUGAAAUAAAAGACAAACAAACCCAAGGAAAGCAGAAGUAAGGACUACAGAUAACAGCAGAAAUAAUGAAUUCAAAGAUGGAAACAAGUGAAUUGAUAAAUGAAGCCUGAGAGCUGACUCUAGAAAAAUAGAAUAGAUAAUCUACUAACUUGUUAACCAAGAAGAAAUGUAAGAAAACACAAAUUCCCCUCAUAAGACUAGCCUUGGAUAAACCAGAAUUUACAGAGAACAAUUCUUACCAUUCUAAGUUAAAAGAGUUUGAAAAUGUAGUUGAAGAAGGUAAUUUUUGAAAAGUAUGUAUUAUUAAAAUUAAUUGAAGAAGUGUUAACAUAUUCAAAUGCACCACAUCUGUAGAAACAUUUGAGAAAGCUGUAAAAGAAUCAAUGCAACGAAGUGUAGCUUGUGUGUGUGUGCAUGGUGUGUGAGAGUGUGUGCCUAUAUGAGCAUGUGUGCAUACAUGUGCAUAUUUAUGGGGUGUGUGUGCAUGCUGUGUGUGUGUGCCUGUGUGCAUGUGUGCACAUGCAUAUGUGUGUGUGAUGUGUAUCAUGCAUGAUGUGUGUGUACGUGGCAAGUGUAUGUUCCUGUCUGUGCACGCAUGUGCAUGUGUGCAUGGUGUGUGUGUGUAUGUGUGUGUGUGUGUGUGUGUGUUUUAGCCUUCUGUAAUCUUCCUCAUGCUUUCCAAGCUCCUUCAAAUGCAAGUAAUAAUAAUCAAAGGAAAACGAAGCCCCGUAUGUUUAGGGACAGUGCCAUGCUUUGCUGACCAGGGUGCUGGCUGUCUACCGCUGGUCCAGACCCACCUCCAUCCUCGCCACGCUCUGUGUUGCAGGAGGCUGACUGCAUGGGCCAGACCCCAGCGGCUUCUCUGCUCUUUGGCUUCUGGUCAGGUUGGCAGCCAGGGAGAGAGAGUAGAAGGGGGCAGGAGCUGGGCAAGGCCGCCUGGCUCCCACCCUGUCUGUUGCUGUCAUUUGCCUUCUACUUCUGCCUACACUCAAACGUCUCAACUUCUGCCCUUCUGCUGAUGUCUCGGCUCCUCUCAGCCUGUGUGACAGACUUGGAGAUGUGCCACCCAGAUGCCCCUUCCAGGAAGAACUUGCUCCCAGCUUUGGGGAGUGGUCAGAACAUGGCUUCCACCUGUUAGCUCUUCAGGAUCUUCCCAGUGAUGAGCCCCAACCGGCCUGGGUCAAGUUUUUCAUGUCCAGCUAACACCCGGAGACUGGGAGAGGGUCUUGGGAGACCCGAGGUGGGAUGCUGGAUGGGUACUGUGCACUUGGGAGCUUCCAGACAGGCCUGUACCACAGUUGAACGUCUCCCUCCACCCGCUUCUCCCUCCUGUCCAGGUGCUGGACCCUCAUAAACAUCUUGUAUCCUGA